CGCUGUGCGGGCCGGCGGACAGGUCGAUGGUGAUGGUGACGUCGCGGGGCCGCAGGUCGACCUUGGCGCGAUCGUCUCCCGCCGCGCCGCC
rnacentral:tRNA from 1 species